rnacentral:tRNA from 1 species
GCCUGGGUGGCUCAGUCGGUUGAGCGUCCGACUUCGGCUCAGGUCUCACCGUCUGUGGGUUCGAGCUCCACAUCGGGCU